rnacentral:rRNA from 1 species
GACGAACGCUGGCGGCGUGCUUAACACAUGCAAGUCGUACGGUAAGGCCCUUUCGGGGGUACACGAGUGGCGAACGGGUGAGUAACACGUGAGUAACCUGCCCACAACUUUGGGAUAACGCUAGGAAACUGGUGCUAAUACUGGAUAUGUGCUCCUGCUGCAUGGUGGGGGUUGGAAAGCUCCGGCGGUUGUGGAUGGACUCGCGGCCUAUCAGCUUGUUGGUGGGGUAGUGGCCUACCAAGGUGGCCACGGGUAGCCGGCCUGAGAGGGUGACCGGCCACAUUGGGACUGAGAUACGGCCCAGACUCCUACGGGAGGCAGCAGUGGGGAAUAUUGCACAAUGGGCGCAAGCCUGAUGCAGCAACGCCGCGUGCGGGAUGACGGCCUUCGGGUUGUAAACCGCUUUCAGCAGGGACGAAGCUUUUUGUGACGGUACCUGCAGAAGAAGCACCGGCUAACUACGUG